AUUCUAAAGCCAAGGCCAUUUGAUAAAGCCUGGGGAAUUUAUUGCAAGGCAGAUGGACACAGCAGCAGCACAUAAGAGCACACGCGUGGGGCUCCAGCCCGGCCACGGGGAGACCUUUUCUCAGCAAAGGGCAGCACUGCUCGCUUUGCUGGGGCAGCCCUCCCAGGAAGAUCCCAGAAGAGAUGGUCUGAGGUGUGUGAACACUGUGAAUGUCAUGGACAAAGCUCAGCGUGGGACCCCAUGGGACUUCAGGCCCUGAAAGCAGCAGAUCUCACCUGCAUUGGAGGAUGAGACGCCACAUGAAGAAGAAAGAAGACGCCACAGACAGCAGCGCAGUACCACCUUCCAGAGAUAGUCUCACUGUGACACCUAGUUUGGACUGCAAUGGCGCGAUCUUGGCUCACUGAAACCUCCGCUUCCCAGGUUCAAACGAUUCUCCUGCCUCAGCCUUCCGAGUAGCUGGGACUACAGGUGUGCACCACCAUGCCUGGCUAAUUUUUGUAGUUUUAGUAGAAAUGAGGUUUCGCCAUAUUGGCCAGGCUGUUCUUGAACUCCUGACCUUAAGUGAUCUGCCUGCUUUGGCCUCCCAAUGUGCUGGGAUUACAGGCUUCAACCACUGAGCCUGGCCUACUCCUUUGCUAUCUUAAUAAACUUGGUUUCAGCUUACUUUAUGGACUCGCCCUAAAUUCUUUCUUGUGCAAGGUCCAAGAACCUUCUCUUGGGGUCUGCAUCAGGACCCCUUUCUGCCCUUUCUGGUAACAGUACCAUAAUAACAAAUAUUAUCGAGCAUAUUUUCAUGUAAUUAUUUGCAACUUGUAUAUCUUCUUUGGUAGAGUGUCUGUUAGAAUAUUUUGUCUAUCUAAAAAUUGGGUUUGUUUUCUUAUUAUUGAAUUUUGAGAGUGUGUUAUAUGUUCUGGACACAAGCCCUUUAUCAGAGAUAUGGUUUGCAAAUAUUUUCUUCUAGUCUGUGACUUUUCUCUCUUAACAAUGUCUUUUGAAGAGCAGGUGUUUUAAAUUUUGAUGAAGUCAGAUGUAUCAAUUUAUGAUUUUAAUAAAUCAUGCUUUUAGCAUAGUAUUUAAGAUACUUAACCCAAGGUCACAAGAGUUUUCUUUUAGAAGUUUUAGUUUUAGGUUUUGCAUUUAGGUAUAUGAUCCAUUUUGAGUUAGUUUAUAUACAUUGUGCAAGGUAAGGACUGAGGUUUUUAAUUUUUGCAUAUAGAUUACCACUUGUGCCAACCUCACUGUUGUGAUGAUAUGAUAGAAAUCACUGUCUUUUCUCCACUGACUUGCUUUUGCAUCUUUGUAAAAAGUUGGUCAUGCCAAUGAAACUGACCCAAUUUUCCCAUAGAACUGAUGGGAAAAACUGUUUACAGUUUUGUUGUUGUUUUUUGUUUUUGUUUUUGUUUUUAAUGAACAUUGAAGUGGACUCUCCAGGUUUUAAAGCUUGAGAAACUUACAUUUGUCUUAUCUGAGUUUAUUUCUCAGGAAACCAGCUGUCAGGCCUCCCAGAUAGUAUCAGAAAGCUGAAGAUUUCCAGAUCGCUGCAUCCUAACAGCAAGGUCCUAAAAACAUCCUGAGUUUCUUUGGCCUGCCAGAAAGUCACCUUCCUGACUCACCUGUAAGGCUGGGAACUCCAUAAUCCAGUUGGAAAUGCAGAAAUCACCUGUCUUCUGCGUCGAUCAGGCUGGGAGCUGCAGACCGGAGCUGUUCCUAUUCGGCCAUCUUGGAAUGGACCCCCAUGUCUUAUUCUCAAAUAAAAC
rnacentral:lncRNA from 1 species